GCUGGGUGUGGUGGCGUGCACCUGUACUCCCAGCUACUCUGGAGGCUGAGGUGGGAGGAUUACUUGGGCCUGGGAGGUUGAGGCUGCAGUGAGCGGUGAUUGUGCCACUGCACUCUAGCCUGGGUGACAGAGCAAGAGCCUGUCUCAA
rnacentral:sRNA from 1 species